AUUGAACGCUGGCGGCAUGCCUUACACAUGCAAGUCGAACGGCAGCGUGGAGAGCUUGCUCUCUGAUGGCGAGUGGCGAACGGGUGAGUAAUGCAUCGGGACGUACCUAUAAGCGGGGGGAUAACUAUCCGAAAGGAUAGCUAAUACCGCAUAUUCUGUGAGCAGGAAAGCAGGGGAUCGCAAGACCUUGCGCUGAUUGAGCGGCCGAUAUCAGAUUAGCUAGUUGGUGAGGUAACGGAUCACCAAGGCUACGAUCUGUAGCGGGUCUGAGAGGAUGAUCCGCCACACUGGGACUGAGACACGGCCCAGACUCCUACGGGAGGCAGCAGUGGGGAAUUUUGGACAAUGGGCGCAAGCCUGAUCCAGCCGUGCCGCGUGAGUGAAGAAGGCCUUCGGGUUGUAAAGCUCUUUCGGCCGGGAAGAAAUCGCAUCAGCUAAUACCUGGUGUGGAUGACGGUACCGGAAUAAGAAGCACCGGCUAACUACGUGCCAGCAGCCGCAGUAA
rnacentral:rRNA from 1 species